UAAAAAUUAUUAGUUUUAAUAGAUCAUAUGCAAAAUGUCGGACAAAUAAGUAUGCAUACAGUACUACUAGUGAUUUAAAAUAAGGGCGUAAUGUGAUUUUUUUCAAAUUCGAUGCACCUUAUUGGUCAAAGAAUGGCGUUGUUUGUAGAUCUUCACGAAGGGAAAUGGGGAAGAAAUCGAAAGAGUUAAAAGAUUUUCUGAGCUGUUGAAACAAACUGAUAGAAAUUAGAAACCAGUAAAUUCCCACUUGGCGUCAGCUUUCGGCAGCUGUAUUUAGGUAGCAGUAUGGGUUGGGUGAUGUUACGUUUUGGUUGUGCCAUUCUGAACUAAGUAGGAUUUGUCUGUAACUAACCUCUGACAAUAACUUCUCUUUGCUUGAUCUUUAUAAAUUCUGAUGAAACACCUAUGCAGUACGAUGAAGGUGCCCAGCGUACAGACAACCACACUACGAAGGCACGCCAAGAAGGUUGGAGAAAUACCUUAUAAAGUCAUGUGCCAUUAACUUAGCUUGUUAAAACAUUUGAUAGAUUUUCUAUUUUAAUAUUUAAGAUUCAUAUAAUUAAAUGUUUUAAAAAGGACAGCUUUUAAAGAAUCUGUAAUGAGAAAAUAACUUUUCUGCUUUAGCAUUGCAUUAUUAAAAAAAAAAAAAAAAAAAAAGACAAGACUUCAAGAAAAUUUUGUAUAUAAAAGUUUUAAAUUACAAGGUCUUUCAUUCAAGUAAUUUGUAAAAUUAUGGACUAAAUUCAGGUUAUUACUUUUUGUAGUGAUGUACUAUUUUACAAGCUGUUGUUUUCAAAAUGUCUUCAAUGUGAGAUAAUGGAGUGACGUACUAUACACUAUUUUGCGGAUAUGAAUGCAAUUUUGUAUUUGAGUAUUUUAGAAAACUGUGGAUAAUUAGAUAAUUUUAAGUAUCCGCUAACAAAAUUACUUUUGUCUAAUUGUAAUAUUUUAAGAAGCUAUAGAAUUUUUGUUAUGAAUUGCUGACAUAUUUCAAACUGUUACUCUGAAAUCACAUACAAGUAAUUUAAUUCUUGUUUACUCAAAUUUAUGCUGUUUUUAUUCAUGUUCAGUAUUAUUGCUCUAUUAAUAACAGUAUAAUAAAAUAUUAUAAAAAGGG